UGUGACCUCGGAUCAGGU
rnacentral:rRNA from 1 species